rnacentral:rRNA from 1 species
UACGGAGGAUGCAAGCGUUAUCCGGAAUGAUUGGGCGUAAAGCGUCCGCAGGUGGCAGUGUAAGUCUGCUGUUAAAGAAUGAGGCUUAACCUCAUCAGAGCAGUGGAAACUACACAGCUAGAGUGCGUUCGGGGUAGAGGGAAUUCCUGGUGUAGCGGUGAAAUGCGUAGAGAUCAGGAAGAACACCGGUGGCGAAAGCGCUCUACUAGGCCGCAACUGACACUGAGGGACGAAAGCUAGGGGAG